rnacentral:rRNA from 1 species
CCUACGGGAGGCUGCAGUAGGGAAUAUUGGGCAAUGGACGAAAGUCUGACCCAGCCAUGCCGCGUGAAGGAAGAAGGUCCACAGGAUUGUAAACUUCUUUUUUCGGAGAAUAAAAGCUGGCAACGGCCAGCCCUGAAGGUACCCGAAGAAUAAGCACCGGCUAACUACGUGCCAGCAGCCGCGGUAAUACGUAGGGUGCAAGCGUUGUCCGGAUUUACUGGGUUUAAAGGGUGCGUAGGCGGCUCCGUCAGUCGGUGAUGAAAUGCUCAGGCUCA